GCCUGGGUGGCUCAGUAGGUUAAGCGUCCGACUUUGGCUCAGGUCAUGAUCUCGCGGUCCGUGGGUUCGAGCCCCGCGUCAGGCU
rnacentral:tRNA from 1 species